CUCUAAUCCGGAAAGCUAAAGCCACAGUGAUAAGACAUUUAAGCUAUUAAUGAAAUCCAACACGUAGCCAUUUUCUUUUUAGGUAAAUUCUGCAUCAGUGCCAAAAAACAAUGACAAUGUCUGCCGAAUUUGAGGACGGAUGGUGGGGAUCACUCCCUGAUGUAUGUCUCCGGCACGUGUUCAGACAUCUAUGUGAUUGUGACCGCAGGAGUGCAGCACUUGUCUGCCAUCUCUGGCCAAAUGCCAUGCGCUCACCCUGUCUGUGGUGCCACAGGUUUUUCUAUUUCAGUGGGUGGUUAUCUCUUUUGAGGCAGGUACAAUAUCAGUCUGCUCUGAGCUAUGCCCACUGCUUGGGAGUCUACCUACAGAGUCUCGAGAUUUAUGUGCAUCCCCCUCACAAGUUCAUGGAAGCCCAACAUCUGAACAGAACCAUCAGUGGGCUGUUUGCUGAGCUUACCACGUAAAAGCUCAUCUAAACCAGAUCUUGUUUUACACAGCACAACACUCCAGUUAAUUAUCCUUCAGACUGUAGCGGUCAACUGUCUCUGCAAAUUUAACAUUAUUUGGUCUCCACAGAGUCAGGGCUCCACUGCGGUCCCUCUCCCUUGUAGAGCUGGACUUGGAUCAGUGCACCUGGAGGUUUGAGCCCAGGAACUCUUUAAUAAAUAACUUGAUACACUUCCUCCACAGAUGGGCAUGAAAGCUCACAUCUGUUUGACCAGGAUGUGAAACAGCAUGCAUCAGACUUGGAGGGUUUAUUUUCUGGUGCUACACACGCCCAUCUCCACCCCAGGCUGCCCCUCAUCCUCUGUCAGCUUCGAGGCCUCCCCAACCUGAGCCUGAGUUACUUCUGUCUCUCAGAUCAGCUGCUCAUGGCUCUCCAGCACAGAUACCAAGGAGUGAGGAAACACUCCACAAGAGAUGAGAGCUCCUUGCAAACAUUUUCACUGCACUGCACUGCAGAGCCCCAUCUACAGGUGGUGAGUGGUGGCUCAUGGGCAGCUUAGGCAUCCAGCUGCCCAAACCUGACAGUCACACUUACAGCACAGCACUGACCAGCUCGCAAGGAUACUGCUGCCUGAGAUUCCCCUGACAACAUACACCAUGAUCACUUUCCGUGAAGAAGAAUGAAAUGCCAGGCCUCUUUUGAAUAAUAUGCUGCCUCAGUGCAAACACAGUCUGCAGGGUGCUUUGCCUGAUCCAGAUGACCCUCGAAUCUCGUUAGAGAUGUACAAUCUUGCCAUCUGUCUCAUUCAGAGCUUUGACGAGAUGGAGGGCAAUGAUUCCAGUAAAGUUGAGGAAGACAGUAGCCUGCCUUUGUCAGAGAAAGGCAGUGUGCUGGUUUUCCUUCCUGGUUUGCAUGAAAUAAGUUACAUGCAGGAGGCUCUGACCAAGCUGGUUCACAAAAGGUGAGGAUUUGCUUUUCUUUGUAUGGUUAAUACUGUAUAUCUGUGAAGCUAAAAACAGUUGUCUUCUGUACAGUGGAACAGAGACCCUUAUACCCUCAGUGCUCUGUCUCUUCUUUAGACUUGGAGGGUUUCUUUUCUGGUGCUACACACGCCCAUCUCCACCCUAGGCUGCCCCUCAUCUUCUGUCAGCUUCGAGGCCUCCCCAACCUGAGCUUGAGUUACUUCUGUUUCUCAGAUCAGCUGCUCAUGGCUCUCCAGCAUAGAUGCCAAAGAAGGAGGAAACACUCCACAAGAGAUGAGAGAGCCCCUUGCAAACAUUUUCACUGCACUGCAGAGCCCCAUCUACAGUACCUGUCCCUGGACCUGAGGAACUGCAGUGAACCACUGGAUGAGGAUCUGCUGGUGCUGGUCAGGUUGUGCAAGUGCCUGGAGGCUCUUUGUCCACGUGCUCUUGGAAGUCAGGACUGUGAGAAGGCUGCUGCACAUCAGACUGACACAAAGACACUUGCUCAACAAGAUCAAAGUGAGAAUCUACUCAGAAGACCCUAUAGAGCAGGAAGACCAGCUGGAGGAAAUGUUGUCCCACUACCCACAUGGCCCCUCCUGAACUGGAAUUUUCAGUCAGAGUCUUCCACCACUUAUAAUCGCUGAACACACACAUGAGUGUUUGUAGACAAGCUGAUUAGCAAAGGGGACAAAACACAAAAAAAAAUAAAAUGAUUGAUGCAUGAAAUUCAUCUGUUCUGGUGGCUGACUGGUUCUCUAUGGGGUGGGGGCAGUGGGUGUGUAUGGAAACAUUGACCUAGUUUCAUUGUUAAGGGUGAUGGGGAAGGCUGUGUGUGUGUGUGUGUGCACGCACUCUGGCAUGACAAGGCACUAUUUAAAAGAACAGGGAUCAAGAGGCAACAGCAAGAUACCAGUCUUGAUUACAUGACUCAUGAUACACUACUAAGAGAGUAAAGUCUAUGCUUUUAUUCUCAUUAAUUUGAUUUCUUCUAAUUAUUUUCUGAAAGCUGUGUAAAUGUGUAUAAAUAUUUGUAUUAUCUCAAUAUCCCUUUUAUUACAAUCACUUCAAAAAGUAUUCACAUCACUUCACUUUUUACAAUCUGUGUUGUAGAGUUCAUUUUAAACUGAUAUAAUUGCCAUUUUUGCACAUCAAUCUAGAUUUAACAACCCAUUUACAUGUACAAAU